rnacentral:rRNA from 1 species
GCCGCCUGGCCGCGGGAUUUCCGUAGGUGAACCUGCGGAAGGAUCAUUCCCUUGAAUCCAAAUCAACCACUUAACUUGACUGGGGCUUUGGCUCUGUGUUCUCGCGAACCGGGCCUCGGUCCUAAAGGCACCUUCCGUUCCCCAGCCCUACUGGAAGCGCGGGAAUGCCCCGUGCGUCCUUGGGGAGCCCUGGCUGGCGCCCAGCAGGGUAGGAUUGUGCCGUGUUGUCGACAACAGUCCAAAGUGAUCAAAUAACGAAAGUAUUAAACUUUCAGCGAUGGAUGCCUCGGCUUGAGCACUGAUGAAGGACGCAGCGAAAUGCGAUACGCAUUGUGAAUUGCAGAAUUCCGUGAGUCAAUAGGUAUCUGAACGCAUUCUGCGCUCUCGGGAUCCUCCCGUGAGUACAUCUGCUUCAGUGUUUCCGAACCUUCCUGCCAGCUGCAUUGCGCGGCUGAGCGUUUCUGUGCGCUAACGGGAGCACCCGCUUGCGCAUUAAAUGCAUCAUGAACCGUGCCUCGCUUACAGGUUGGUCACCUCGUGUGUCUAUUUGUGAGCUUGUGCCUCGGUGGUCAUGCGCCGACCUCGGAACCGAACCUGAAGUCAGGUGGAGCUACCCGCUGAACUUAAGCAUAUCAAU